GUAUUUAUUGUGAAUAUACAAGUGUAGGAUACAUAUGCAUUACAAUGAAUAAAUACCAAUGUUAUUGGUUGAACAACAUAUCAUUCGUAUCAAUUUUACAAUAGAGAACACAUCUAUGGAGAAUAUUACACCAUAGAAUUUGCAACAAUUCGACAAAAGGCAAAGAUCUUCUGAACGGUAUUACAUUUUUCAAUCUAUUAAUUUAAACUACGAUUAUUGCCAAGUAAAGUCUUCCAAUUAUGUUUGCUUCAUCAUCCAAUCGAAGAAUUCAGCUGCAACUCAAUUAUCCUUUUUUGAGUCUGCAAAAGAUAAAUGGACGUUAUAGUUAUGUGAUUGGAUGUACACAAAUAUAAUUUUGGAAUAUGGAAGAAAAGACUCAACUUACAAAAGCAAAAGGUGGGGUUAAGUAUCCUAAAGCAAAAGCAUCACCAAUUCUCUUAAAUCAGAAACUUGCCUAACUCACUCCUCAUUAUCCAGAAUAGGUUCAUCUAUGCACAUAAGUGCAAAUUCGGCACCUAGCUAAAUAUCACCAAUCUUAGUUUCUAGAUCAAUACUCCGAAUAGUAGCAUAUGGAACGUACCAUGGUUUGGAUAUGUGAAAAGUCUUUAAAACUACUUUGGAUGCAACCUAUAUUAUGAUCAAUAUUAUUAUUCAACAACAAUGAUAACGGAAUUCGCAUGAACAAUAUUUCAAUGGAUACACGUGGUCAUAGUUCGGUUAGACUACCAUGGCCAUUCACUUCCUUAGGGAUACACACUCAGGCUACAAGUGGGACUAAUAGAGGAAUGCCCACACCAGCAUGCAUGUAUUAUGUGGGUGUUUGUGGGCAGCCCGCAAUCAACCAUGUUGCGUUUGCUUGCCUAGAUAAUCCCAUUUAAUCCCACAUAGUAGUAAACUACUGCACAAUUGUAUUAAUAGUUUCUACAGUCACCAAGUGGAUGAUGUGUGGUAAGCACCCACAAAAAAAGUGUUGAGACAAUUGUACUUAGCUCUUGUACAAAUCAAGACUAACUUGUUGUAUCGGGACAUUAGUUGAACACAGCAGCACAAACAACUAUCAAUCAGGUCACUACAUGAGCAAGCACAUGCAAAGUGGCCCCCAGUGCAAACAAAUUAGAGUGGCCGAUAAAGCAUCAUCAUACCAUUGAGAAUCAGGAGCAGAGGAUCUGUGCUGUAUGUGCGUUCUUGUUGUUGCGUCGGGCAUGUGUGUGUAUAUGCUUUCUAGUACGUAACAAAAGUACCCGUAAGAUGUUUUCUAACACUAGACAUUCCAUGGCAAAGUUAUAAAGAAUUUAAACAUUCUAUACGAAUUGUCAAUGAACGCGUCCAUAUGACUGCCUAAACAUAUACCUGGAAACCAGUAGCCAUGAUUACAGUGGCUUUAAACAGCAUGGAAUUGAUAUGCAUAAACCCUUGAGGCAUCAACACUAUCCGAGCUCCCCACAAAUAUUCUGUAAGAGUAGAAUGAUAAACAACUUGAGACAGAAAUAGAUAUACAUCCAAAAGCUACAGACUAUAAGCAUGCAGUAGAAAAGCUACAGACUAUAUUCAACAAAUUUGAAAUUAAAUGUAGAACCUAUUUUGCACAUAAUGUAACCAGGAUGGAUACUUGGUAAAAGGUGAUGGUUUCUUACAUUCACCUAAAUAAAAAAGUAACUAGGAUGGGUAAUUGGUACAAGGUGAUGCUAUCACGCAUUCAGUUAUAUCAAACUAGCUGAAAUAGAUAUACAUCCAAAAGAUACAGACUAUAAGCAUGCAGUAGAAAAGCUACAGACUAUAUUCAACAAAUUUGAAAUUAAAUGUAGAACCUAUUUUGCACAUAAUGUAACCAGGAUGGAUACUUGGUAAAAGGUGACGGUUUCUUACAUUCACCUAAAUAAAAAAGUAACUAGGAU
rnacentral:lncRNA from 1 species